AAAAUCCCAAACAUAAAAGCUUGAAUUGCUUCCAGCCAAACUCUCCCUUUACGUGGUUAUUCAAUUGCUUCAAGAAAAGUGAAAUUGAUUCCAAAAGUCUCCAUCACCAAGGACAAGUGCCUACCUACUCCUACCUAUUGACCUUGCUAAAGAAUUACUAGUUCUCUCUCUUCAAACCAAAGACAUGNCUNUGCCAUCUUAACCAAAUAAAAUCACGUAGCAUUCAAUACUUACAAAAUGGAAAUGCUACUAUAAUUAAUUUAAGGCUACCCAUCAUGAUGUGACAACUCCUCUUCCUUCAAAAUGAAAUUAAAAUCACCGUAUGCUCUUCAUUUAACCAAACAUUGCAG
rnacentral:lncRNA from 1 species